UACAGAGACCUCAAGCGUUAUCCGGAAUCAUUGGGCGUAAAGCGUACCGAUAGGUGGUUGAAAUAGUCUUGGGUAAAAGCCGGAAGCUCAACUUCCGCGUUUGCUUAAGAUACUUUUCGACUAGAGGGGCAAAGAGGUGCUUGGAACCAACGGUGUAGUAGUGAAAUGCGUUGAUAUCGUUGGGAACACCGAAAGCGAAGGCAGAGCACUGGGUGCCACCUGACACUGCUAGGACGAAAGCGUGGGGAGCGAAUGGG
rnacentral:rRNA from 1 species